rnacentral:rRNA from 1 species
GGAAUAUUGGACAAUGGGGGCAACCCUGAUCCAGCAAUGCCGCGUGAGUGAUGAAGGCCUUCGGGUUGUAAAGCUCUUUUGGCGGGGACGAUGAUGACGGUACCCGCAGACGAAGCCCCGGCUAACUACGUGCCAGCAGCCGCGGUAAUACGUAGGGGGCAAGCGUUGUCCGGAUUCAUUGGGCGUAAAGAGCGUGUAGGCGGUCAGGUAGGUCGGUUGUGAAAACUGGAGGCUCAACCUUCAGAGGUCGACCGAAACCCCCUGGCUAGAGUCCGGGAGAGGAGAGUGGAAUUCCUGGUGAAGCGGUGAAAUGCGCAGAUAUCAGGAAGAACACCCGUGGCGAAAGCGGCUCUCUGGAACGGUACUGACGCUGAGACGCGAAAGCGUGGGGAGCGAAC